CCAGAGAACUUAGCAGAGAUGCUUUGGUGCCUUCGGGAACUCUGAGACAGGUGCUGCAUGGCUGUCGUCAGCUCGUGUUGUGAAAUGUUGGGUUAAGUCCCGCAACGAGCGCAACCCUUAUCCUUUGUUGCCAGCGGCUUGGCCGGGAACUCAAAGGAGACUGCCGGUGAUAAACCGGAGGAAGGUGGGGAUGACGUCAAGUCAUCAUGGCCCUUACGGCCAGGGCUACACACGUGCUACAAUGGCGCAUACAAAGAGAAGCGACCUCGCGAGAGCAAGCGGACCUCAUAAAGUGCGUCGUAGUCCGGAUUGGAGUCUGCAACUCGACUCCAUGAAGUCGGAAUCGCUAGUAAUCGUAGAUCAGAAUGCUACGGUGAAUACGUUCCCGGGCCUUGUACACACCGCCCGUCACACCAUGGGAGUGGGUUGCAAAAGAAGUAGGUAGCUUAACCUUCGGGAGGGCGCUUACCACUUUGUGAUUCAUGACUGGGGUGAAGUCGUAACAAGGUAAGCGUAGUGCU
rnacentral:rRNA from 1 species